AGAGUUUGAUCCUGGCUCAGGACGAACGCUGGCGGCAGGCCUAACACAUGCAAGUCGAACGAGAAGCCGAUCUUCGGAUUGGUGGACAGUGGCGGACGGGUGAGUAACGCGUGGGUACUUGCCUCUUGGUACGGGACAACCCCGGGAAACUGGGGCUAAUACCGUAUAUACCGAUUUUGGUGGUUCUUAGUCGGGAAAGAUUUAUCGCCGAGAGAUAGACCCGCGUCCGAUUAGCUAGUUGGUGUGGUAACGGCGCACCAAGGCAUCGAUCGGUAGCUGGUUUGAGAGGAUGAUCAGCCACACUGGGACUGAGACACGGCCCAGACUCCUACGGGAGGCAGCAGUGGGGAAUAUUGGACAAUGGGCGCAAGCCUGAUCCAGCCAUGCCGCGUGAGUGAAGAAGGCCCUAGGGUUGUAAAACUCUUUCACCGGUGAAGAUAAUGACGGUAGCCGGAGAAGAAGCCCCGGCUAACUCCGUGCCAGCAGCCGCGGUAAUACGGAGGGGGCUAGCGUUGUUCGGAAUUACUGGGCGUAAAGCGUGCGUAGGCGGUUUAGCAAGUUAGAAGUGAAAGCCCUGGGCUCAACCUAGGAAUUGCUUUUAAAACUGCUAAACUAGAAUCUCGGAGGGGAUGGUGGAAUUUCCAGUGUAGAGGUGAAAUUCGUAGAUAUUGGAAGGAACACCAGUGGCGAAGGCGACCAUCUGGACGAGUAUUGACGCUGAGGCACGAAAGCGUGGGGAGCAAACAGGAUUAGAUACCCUGGUAGUCCACGCCGUAAACGAUGUAAACUAGCCGUUGGGACCUUAGGUUUCAGUGGCGCAGCUAACGCACUAAGUUUACCGCCUGGGGAGUACGGCCGCAAGGUUAAAAACUCAAAGGAAUUGACGGGGACCCGCACAAGCGGUGGAGCAUGUGGUUUAAUUCGAUGCAACGCGCAGAACCUUACCAGCCCUUGACAUCCCGAUUGGGAGGAGCAGAGAUGCACCUCUUCAUUUAGUUGGAUCGGUGACAGGUGCUGCAUGGCUGUCGUCAGCUCGUUGUCGUGAGAUGUUGGGUUAAGUCCCGCAACGAGCGCAACCCCUGUUAUCAGUUGCCGUCAGUUAAAGGUGGGGACUCUAAGGAGACUGCCUGGGAUAACCAGGAGGAAGGUGGGGAUGAUGUCAAGUCAGUAUGUCCCUUAUGUCCAGGGCUACACACGUGUUACAAUGGUCAGUACAAAGGGUUGCCAACCCGCAAGGGGGAGCCAAUCCCAAAAAACUGACCCCAGUUCAGAUUGGAGUCUGCAACUCGACUCCAUGAAGGUGGAAUCGCUAGUAAUCGCGCAUCAGCACGGCGCGGUGAAUACGUUCCCGGGUCUUGUACACACCGCCCGUCAAGCCAUGGAAGUCGGCAGUACCCGAAGCCGGUAUCUCAACCUUAGGGAGAGAGCCGUCGAAGGUAAGGCCGGUAACUGGGGCUAAGUCGUAACAAGGUAACC
rnacentral:rRNA from 1 species